UACGUAGGGGGCGAGCGUUAUCCGGAUUUACUGGGUGUAAAGGGAGCGCAGGCGGCAGGGCAAGUCAGAUGUGAAAUACCGGGGCCCAACCCCGGGACUGCAUUUGAAACUGUCCGGCUGGAGUGCAGGAGAGGCAGGCGGAAUUCCUAGUGUAGCGGUAAAAUGCGUAGAUAUUAGGAGGAACACCAGUGGCGAAGGCGGCCUGCUGGACUGUAACUGACGCUGAGGCUCGAAAGCGUGGGGAGCAAACAGG
rnacentral:rRNA from 1 species